rnacentral:rRNA from 1 species
GUCCACGCCCUAAACGUUGAUUACUCGUUGUUGGCGAUAUACAGUCAGCGACCAAGCUAAAGCGUUAAGUAAUCCACCUGGGAAGUACGACCGCAAGGUUGAAACUCAAAGGAAUUGACGGGGGCCCGCACAAGUGGAGGAGCAUGUGGUUUAAUUCGAUGAUACGCGAGGAACCUUACCUGGGCUUGAAAGUUAGUGACGUUCUGUGAAAGCAGAAUUCCCUUCGGGGCACAAAACUAGGUGCUGCAUGGCUGUCGU